rnacentral:rRNA from 1 species
GAUGAACGCUGGCGGCGUGCCUAAUACAUGCAAGUCGAGCGAACAGACGGGGAGCUUGCUCCUCUGCCGUUAGCGGCGGACGGGUGAGUAACACGUGGCUAACCUACCUAUAAGACUGGGGUAACUUCGGGAGACCGGAUACAAUACCCGAUAAUAUAUUGAACCGCAUGGUUCAAUAGUGAUAACGGGUUUUGCUGUCACUUAUAGCUGGUACCGCGCCGGAUGAGCUAGUUGGUAAGGUAACGGCUAACCAAGGCGACGAUGCGUAGCCGACCUGAGAGGAUGAUCGGCCACACUGGAACUGAGACACGGUCCAGACUCCUACGGGAGGCAGCAGUGGGGAAUAUUGCACAAUGGGCGAAAGCCUGAUGCAGCAAUGCCGCGUGAGUGAUGAAGGUCUUCGGAUUGUAAAGCUCUUUUAUUAGGGAAGAAGAGAAGUAUAUUAAUACCUGGCUGUUUUGACGGUACCUAAAGAAAAAGCACCGGCUAACUUCGUG